rnacentral:tRNA from 1 species
GUCUCCAUAGUUCAAAUGGAUAGAACGGGUCUUUCCUAAAGAUCAAAUGGCGGUUCAAUUCCGUCUGGGGACACCA